ACGAACGCUGGCGGCGUGCCUAAUACAUGUAAGUAGAACGCUGAAGAGAGGAGCUUGCUCUUCUUGGAUGAGUUGCGAACGGGUGAGUAACGCGUAGGUAACCUGCCUUGUAGCGGGGGAUAACUAUUGGAAACGAUAGCUAAUACCGCAUAACAAUGGAUGACACAUGUCAUUUAUUUGAAAGGGGCAAUUGCUCCACUACAAGAUGGACCUGCGUUGUAUUAGCUAGUAGGUGAGGUAAUGGCUCACCUAGGCGACGAUACAUAGCCGACCUGAGAGGGUGAUCGGCCACACUGGGACUGAGACACGGCCCAGACUCCUACGGGAGGCAGCAGUAGGGAAUCCUCGGCAAUGGGGGCAACCCUGACCGAGCAACGCCGCGUGAGUGAAGAAGGUUUUCGGAUCGUAAAGCUCUGUUGUAAGUCAAGAACGGGUGUGAGAGUGGAAAGUUCACACUGUGACGGUAGCUUACCAGAAAGGGACGGCUAACUACGUG
rnacentral:rRNA from 1 species